AUUCCCGUUGAUCCUGCGGGAGAUGGCUGCUAUGAGUAUUCGAUUAAGCCAUGCAAGUCUACUCGCAAGAGUGGCAGACCGCUCAGUAACACGUCGGUAACCUGCCCUCUGGUCAAGGAUAACCUCGGGAAACUGAGGGUAAACCUUGAUAGGUGGUACAGCCUGGAAUGGCGUACCAUUCAAACUCGUGCCAGAGGAUGGGCCGGCGGCUGAUUAGGCUGUUGGUGGGGUAAUGGCCCACCAAACCUGAGAUCAGUACGGGCCUUGAGAGAGGUAGCCCGGAGAGGGACACUGAGAUACUGGUCCCAGCCCUACGGGGUGCAGCAGGCGCGAAACCUUUACAAUGCACGCAAGUGUGAUAAGGGGAUACUCAGUGCUUACGCUUAUGGCGUAGGCUUUUGGUGACUGUAGAACGUUCACCGAAUAAGUGGUGGGUAAGACCGGUGCCAGCCGCCGCGGUAACACCGGCGCCACGAGUGGUCGUCGCGAUUAUUGGGCCUAAAGCGUUCGUAGCAGGUUUGGUAAAUCUUUUGUGAAAUUGUCUCGCUCAACGAGACAGCGGGCAGAAGACACUGCUAGACUCGAGACCGGGAGGGGUUAGAGGUAUUCCAUGGGGACCGGUAAAAUGGGAUAAUCCAUGGAAGACCACCGAUGGCGAAGGCAUCUAACCAGAACGGAUCUGACUGUGAGGAACGAAAGCCAGGGGAGCGAACCGGAUUAGAUACCCGAGUAGUCCUGGCCGUAAACGCUGCGAGCUAGGCGUUGCACUACCCUUGUGGUUGUGCAGUGUCGAAGCGAAGGCGAUAAGCUCGCCGCCUGGGAAGUACGGUCGCAAGGCUGAAACUUAAAGGAAUUGGCGGGGGAGCACUACAAGGGGUGCGGCGUGCGGUUUAAUCUAAUUCAACACAGAGAAUCUCACCAGAAGCGACGGCAGGAUGAAAGUCAGUCUAAAGGGCUUACUUGACGAGCCGAGAGGUAGUGCAUGGCCGUCGUCAGCUCGUGCCGCAAGGUGUCCUGUUAAGUCAGGCAACGAGCGAGACCUGCACUCACAAUUGCCAGCGAGCUCUGCGAUCGGGCACAUUGUGAGAACUGCCCUUGAAAAGGGGAGGAAGGUGCAGGCUACGGUAGGUCUGUAUGCUCCGAAUCUUCUGGGCUACACGCGCGCAACAAUGGUAAGGACAAUGGGAUGCAACUCCGAAAGGAGAAGCCAAUCCGUGAAACCUUAUCUUAGUUCAGAUCGAGGAUUGUAACUCAUCCUCGUGACGCUGGAAUCCCUAGUAAUCAGGUGUUAUCAGCGCCUGGUGAACAUGUCCCUGCUCCUUGCACAC
rnacentral:rRNA from 1 species